rnacentral:rRNA from 1 species
AUACGUAGGUGACAAGCGUUAUCCGGAUUUACUGGGCGUAAAGGGCGUGUAGGCGGUCUUGCAAGUCAGAAGUGAAAUUCCUGAGCUCAACUCGGGCGCUGCUUCUGAAACUGCAGGACUUGAGUGCUGGAGGGGAAAGCGGAAUUCCUAGUGGAGCGGUAAAAUGCGCAGAUAUUAGGAAGAACACCGGUGGCGAAGGCGGGUGUCUGGGACAGAACUGACGGUGGGGCGGGAAAGCGGGGGGAGCAAAAAGGAUGAGAUACCCUGUUAUGCCCCGCCGUAAACGAUGAAUACUAGGUGUAGGGGGUAUCGACUCCCUCUGUGCCGCAGUUAACACAAUAAGUAUUCCGCCUGGGGAGUACGGCCGCAAGGUUGAAACUCAAAUGAAUUGACGGGG